rnacentral:ncRNA from 1 species
AAGACAUAAAGUCAAUAUCACCCUCCGAUUGCUAGAGGUCGCCCAUUGCUUCAGUGGCGGCUU